rnacentral:misc_RNA from 1 species
GCAGAGCGUUUUAGGGUUUAAUAUGUAUGUAU